UAAGUAAAUCAUCAAAUUGUAAUCAAAUCAUUAAUUAACACACUAAUAAUUCCUUCCUUAUUUUUUAGAAUCAUCUUUAAUCAAUGAUUCUGACUUGAAUAGAAAGAAAAAAAUAUCUUUUAUCUUACUUUAACUCAAUUUUAUUUACAUAAGUAAAUCAUCAAAUUGUAAUCAAAUCAUUAAUUAACACACUAAUAAUUCCUUCCUUAUUUUUUAGAAUCAUCUUUAAUCAAUUCACACUUCAUUCUGACUUGAAUAGAAAAAAACAAAUAUCUUCUAUCUUACCUCAAAAAUACUUAUGAAGCUCUAAUCACCGAUCCGCCCGUCUUUGGUCUUCUGACAAGUAUACUAAUUCGAUCGAGGUCGAGUAUCCGACAGACGAGACGCGAAAUCGGAGAAACCAUGCGAUCGUGGUCGAUCCAAAGACGAGAGAGGGCCGAAGAGAUGUUUCUAUUAGUCCUUCAAUCAUCCUCCCCUUUCAAACAAGACGCCCAUAAGGCCCGGCCAUGUAUUACAUUAACAAGACUCGCCUUAUGCUCGACGACAAGCCGGUCUAACGAGCACGGGAGAGCGUGCACCCAAGUCUAAGUACAAGCAGCCAUAAAACGGCCAUCAAAUCGACGUGUCCUGAGAAGGUCGGUAAUAUCGCAUCUACAUGACCGCGUCUACCAUGGGCGGAAGUCAUUAUAAGAACGGCCGUCGUAAAAGUCUUUGGAUCAUUUGUUCCGCGAGAAUCCACGACGUCCUUAUGGUCAUCGUCUUCGAGAGAAAUACAAUAUCCUGAGCCAGGGAUUUAUCAGUUUGAAGUGCAAAGAAUAAUGCUGAGAGCAAAGCUGAAUAAUUGAUAAUUAAGGAAGGAAAAUUAAUAAAAUGGAAAAUUUGAUAUAUCAAAGCAAUUGAAAUUAUGAUAAUGGAAAUUGGAGAUGCUUAUUAAGUGCUGAGGAUAAAGUUAUGGAUACCAAAAUUAAUAGAAGUUAAUACUAUGUGUUGAGUACAAACGAAUGAACAAUAGAAAUUAACAAAAUGAUAAUUGGAAACUUAUGCCACUGUUGUUCAGCAGUUUUGAGGAUGAAUUGGUACUAAAAUUAGUGGAGUGAGGGCUGAACACUUAGACUUGAAGCAAAAUUAUAUUUAUUCAGCAAUGUUGGAAACAAGACACUAAAAUUAGUAAAGUGGAGAAUGGAGACUUACAUCUAGUGCUGUUCAGUAAUGUUAAGAGCAAUGAAAUUAGCACGAUAAACUUUGGAAGCUUAUGCCAUUCAACAAUGCUGAGAAUGAAGCUAUGGAUACUAAAAUUAAUAAGGAUUGAAGAUCUAGAACUAUAGAGCAUAUAGAGCAAUAAGACAUUAGAAAUAAGACAUCAAAAUUAGCAUAGUGAAAACUUUGGAACACUGCUACUUAGCAAUGUUGAAGAUGAAACUAUUAAAAUGAGGUAUCAUAAUUAGAGGAAUAAGACUUAGGCUUAGAGCUAUUCAUGUUAAGGGCAAUGGAAUCAGAACAGUACAAGUUGGAAACUUUAAACUUAAUGCUAUUCAGCAAUGCUAAGAAAGUAAUGCAAAAUAGGAAGCUGAAAUCAAAGUUCAGCAGUUGCUAUUCAUAAUAUUGAAGACACGAUUAUGUACAACGAAAUUAUUGAAUUGAAUAAAACUAUGAACAAUAAAACUGACAAAGUGAAGACUUAAGAUUUUGAGAUCAAUAUUGUUCACCAACUGAAAUAUUACAGAUAAGAUUAAACUUCAGACCAUUUCUGUUCAAUCAAAUGAAUUCUAUUCAAUCUAUAAUCACAAAUUAUAUGCAAUACUUUCAAUAAUUAAUUCAUCACCACAAUGUACCUCAUGCAAAAACUAUCUCAAAGGAAGUUGCUCUAGCUUUUCAUUUAAAAAAUAACACAAUACCUUCAAUAAUUAAUCUAUCAUCACAUCUUAUGCACAAACUAUCUCAAAGGCCUUACCUUUUUAAGCACAAGUUACUUUCUCACUCAAUCUCUUAAUUAUCAUCAUGAUAUAUGUGCAAAAACUGUCUCAAAAACCUACCUUUUUAAGCACAAAUUAUCAUUUGAAAAAUAACAGGAUACUUUCAAUAAUUAAUCCACGAGCAGAAUACACGCUAUGCAAAAAUUGUAUCAAAGGUUGUUCACCUUUCUUUUUUCGCUCAGGGCGCAGGAAUCCCCAAGUUCGCCAUAAUGCAGUCAUUUAGAGGGAAGCACGAAGCGAUAAUGCGCGGCGAUAGGGGGCGCAUCUUUGCAAUUUUCCCUUUUGGUAACCGGUUGCCGAGGCCUCGGCCAUUUUUAGAUUCUUAUCCGCGGAAAAAGUUUCUGCUUUGCGAGACGUUCGUUUCCGCCCCCUCCCCCCUCCUCCAUUGUUGCAUCCUGCCCAAGUUUACCACCACCCACACCACACCUCUUCCAGCCUCCAUCGGCCACCUUUAUUGCCGUUUAUUCGGGACGCUCGUAAAAGUUAAUGCAACUUGGCAAAUUAUUUCUCCUCGAGCCGAGCCAACGUGCUUUAAUGGGACCACGAUAAUGACAGGCGGAUGCUCGUUUAAUAAAAAUGAAUAAGAAAGAACGUUGUUCAACCGUUUGUCGAUCAAUUUUCAAGGGGAGGAAGGAAGCGAAUUUCGGUCCUGAACAUCGGUUCGUUUUAGAGAGAAUUCGAGGGUUGAAGAUUUGGUGCUGAAAAUUUUUAAUUCUUAUCUUACGAGUAUUUUAUAUUAUUUUUCUUCUAUCGUUUCGAGGAUAAAGAUUCGUGUUAUUAAUAUUAUCGAUGGUUUGUUUCUUCUUGAUCGAUGCGGAUCCAACCAAUUUUGUCACCUCGAAAUGAUAGAAACACAAAGGGGGAGAAAAUAGUGGGGCGAAGAUAGGAAAGUGUCCGUAUACUUUUUUGGCUGCAACGUACUUCGAAAAGAUUUUUCUUUUUGUAAAUGUUCGUUACAAGAAGAAGUUGGUAGAAAUAGAAAACGAUGUCAUCCUGUUUGAUCUAUGGUUCAGAAAACGGUGGUACGUGAGUUUCUAUUCACAGCCACGACAGUAGAAAGAUAAAGAAUAAUAUGGAAAAGUGACGGUUGCGGUUGAUCGAAGUCACAAAUCUUCAGAGAGUAAAAUUCUUAUAUACGAACGAUGACGUCUGGUUUUUAAAAGUGAAUAUAAAAAUGAAUUUACAGUUA